rnacentral:rRNA from 1 species
UAAUACGGAGGGUGCAAGCGUUAUCCGGAUUCACUGGGUUUAAAGGGUGCGUAGGCGGAUUAGUAAGUCCGUGGUGAAAUCUCCAAGCUUAACUUGGAAACUGCCGUGGAUACUAUUAGUCUUGAAUGUUGUGGAGGUUAGCGGAAUAUGUCAUGUAGCGGUGAAAUGCAUAGAUAUGACAUAGAACACCAAUUGCGAAGGCAGCUGGCUACACAAAUAUUGACGCUGAUGCACGAAAGCGUGGGGAUCAAACAGGAUUAGAUACCCUGGUAGUCCACGCCCUAAACGAUGAUUACUCGACAUUUGCGAUAUACAGUAAGUGUCUGAGCGAAAGCAUUAAGUAAUCCACCUGGGAAGUACGACCGCAAGGUUG